CAAGGAAGGCAGCAGGCGCGCAAAUUACCCACUCCCGGCACGGGGAGGUAGUGACGAAAAAUAACGAUACGGGACUCAUCCGAGGCCCCGUAAUCGGAAUGAGUACACUUUAAAUCCUUUAACGAGGAUCAAUUGGAGGGCAAGUCUGGUGCCAGCAGCCGCGGUAAUUCCAGCUCCAAUAGCGUAUAUUAAAGUUGUUGCGGUUAAAAAGCUCGUAGUCGAAUCUGUGUCGUGCGCCGCCGGUUCAUCGCUCGCGGUGUCAACUGGCGUGUCGCAGGACGUCCUGCCGGUGGACUUAGUUUCGUCGUCGCGCGCGUCUCUCGUCGGUCGUUUCCAAAACGGUCGUCGGAACGUCGCGGCGGCGGGGCGGUCCAACUUUAACGAUCCCACCGCGGUGCUCUUCGCUGAGUGUCGAGGUGGGCCGGCACGUUUACUUUGAACAAAUUAGAGUGCUUAAAGCAGGCUAGAAACUUCGCCUGAAUACUGUGUGCAUGGAAUAAUGGAAUAGGACCUCGGUUCUAUUUUGUUGGUUUUCGGAACCCCGAGGUAAUGAUUAAUAGGAACGGAUGGGGGCAUUCGUAUUGCGACGUUAGAGGUGAAAUUCUUGGAUCGUCGCAAGACGAACUUAAGCGAAAGCAUUUGCCAAAAACGUUUUCAUUGAUCAAGAACGAAAGUUAGAGGUUCGAAGGCGAUCAGAUACCGCCCUAGUUCUAACCAUAAACGAUGCCAGCUAGCGAUCCGCCGACGUUCCUCCGAUGACUCGGCGGGCAGCUUCCGGGAAACCAAAGCUUUUGGGUUCCGGGGGAA
rnacentral:rRNA from 1 species